CAGGUUUCAUUGGCCUUGUUUGGUGUGCACCUGCCGACUUGUCAUUGUGUCUUCUUUCUCCCCCGAGGGAGAUGUAGUGCUUGGGGAAGAGGGAGAGCAGGACCUGCUGCCUGCUUGGAGCUGUGGUGCUUGGGGAAGAGGGAGAGCAGGACCUGCUGACUGCUUGGAGCUGUGGUGCUUGGGGAAGAGAGAGAGCAGGACCUGCUGCCUGCUUGGAGCUGUGGUGCUUGGGGAAGAGAGAGAGCAGGACCUGCUGCCUGCUUGGAGCUGUGGUGCUUGGGGAAGAGGGAGAGCAGGACCUGCUGCCUGCUUGGAGCUGUGGUGCUUGGGGAAGAGGGAGAGCAAGACCUGCUGCCUGCUUGGAGCUGUGGUGCUUGGGGAAGAGGGAGAGCAGGACCUGCUGCCUGCUUGGUGCUGUGUUGCUUGGGGAAGAGGGAGAGCAGGACCUGCUGGCUGCUUGGAGCUGUGGUGCUUGGGGAAGAGGGAGAUCAGGACCUGCUGCCUGCUUGGUGCGUGGUGCUUGGGAAGAGGGAGAGCAGGACCUGCUGCCUGCUUGGUGCUGUGGUGCUUGGGAAGAGGGAGAGCAAGACCUGCUGCCUGCUUGGAGCUGUGGUGCUUGGGGAAGAGAGAGAGCAGGACCUGCUUCCUGCUUGGUGCUGUGGUGCUUGGGGAAGAGAGAGAGCAGGACCUGCUGCCUCCUUGGUGAAUGUAGCUUCUUUCUCUGCCUUCAUGUGGUUCUCACGAAGCUCACAUGCCAGAUCCAUCAUGAAAUCUCUCCUGCGGAAUGUCUUGUCAAAGCAUUGCUUGUACAACACGUGUUGAUAGCAGCCAUGUCGAGCACAUUGUAGAACACUGCAACAGCCCAGCGGCAAUUACCUCAUUUUACAGAGUCUUGCCAUCUAAUAGUUAUAAUAUGAAUGUAAUAUAAUAAAGGGGAUACUAGUUGGUGUCUGGCAGAUGGAAGACUGUCUAUAUAUGGUAGAGAUACUGUAUAUACUGUAAUGACCUGGCUAGAUCAUAAAGGGGAUACUAGUUGGUGUCUGUAUAUGGUAGAGAUACUGUAUAUACUGUAAUGGCCUGGCUAGAUCAUAAAGGGGAUACUAGUUGGU
rnacentral:lncRNA from 8 species